rnacentral:rRNA from 1 species
UAACCUGGUUGAUCCUGCCAGUAGUCAUAUGCUUGUCUCAAAGAUUAAGCCAUGCAUGUGUCAGUACAGGCCGCUCUAAGGCUAAACCGCGAAUGGCUCAUUAAAUCAGUUAUGGUUCAUUUGAUCUCACUCCCAUUACUUGGAUAACCCUGGUAAUUCUAGAGCUAAUACGUGACAACAACUACUCCGACUGGAAGGGAGGAGUGCUUUUAUUAGAUGAAAACCAAUCGGGCCUCGGUCCGUCAAACACAAACUGUGCUGAUUCUGAAUAACUUUGUGCCGAGAGCACGGUCUCCGCACCGGCUCCGUAUCUUUCGAGUUUCUGCCUUAUCAUGCUGUGGAUUGUAGGCCAUGCGCCUACUGUGGCUGUUACGGGUGACGGAGAAUCAGGGUUCGAUUCCGGAGAGGGAGCCUGAGAAACGGCUACCACAUCCAAGGAAGGCAGCAGGCACGCAAAUUACCCAAUCCCAGCUCUGGGAGGUAGUGACGAAAAAUAACAAUGCGGGACUCUUCCGAGUCUGCGUAAUUGGAAUGAGCACACUUUAAAUCCUUUAGCAACAACCAAUUGGAGGGCAAGUCUGGUGCCAGCAGCCGCGGUAAUUCCAGCUCCAAUAGCGUAUAUUAAAGUUGUUGCGGUUAAAAAGCUCGUAGUUCGAGUUCAGUUCCGGACUGGCUGGGGAGGUCACCGCCCGGUGCUUCCCCGUCAGGCUCCGAACAGCUUUUAUGACUAAAAGCCAAGCCGGUUUCGCCGGGGUGCUCUUCACCGAGUGUCCCGCGCGGCCGGCCAGUUUACCUUGAAUAAAUGAGAGUGCUCAAAGCAGGCUACUCUUAAAAAUAAAGCCCGAAUGUUACCUGCAUGGAAUGAUGGAAGAUGAACUCGGUUCCAUUUUAUUGGCUCUGGGAAUCCGAGUUAAUGAUAAACAGGGACUGUCGGGGGCAUCCGUACUACGACGCGAGAGGUGAAAUUCAGUGACCGUCGUAGGACGAACAACAGCGAAAGCAUUUGCCAAGAAUGUCUUCGUUGAUCAAGAACGAAAGUUAGAGGAUCGAAGGCGAUCAGAUACCGCCCUAGUUCUAACCCUAAACGAUGCUGACUAGCAAUCCGCCGUCGUUAUUCCCAUGACGUGGCGGGACGCCCCCGGGAAACCUCAAGUCUUUGAGUUCCGGGGGUAGUAUGGUUGCAAAACUGAAACUUAAAGGAAUUGACGGAAGGGCACCACCAGGAGUGGAGCCUGCGGCUUAAUUUGACUCAACACGGGAAACCUCACCAGGCCCGGACACCAGAAGGAUUGACAGAUUAAGAGCUCUUUCUCGAUUUGGUGGGUGGUGGUGCAUGGCCGUUCUUAGUUGGUGGAGUGAUUUGUCUGGUUAAUUCCGGUAACGAACGAGACUCUGGCCUACUAAAUAGUCGACGUGGGUUUUGGUGCAUGGGCCCCGUUCGACAAUGUCUUCUUAGAGGGAUGAGCAGCGAGUAUAGCUGCAGGAGAUUGAGCAAUAACAGGUCUGUGAUGCCCUUAGAUGUCCUGGGCCGCACGCGCGCUACACUGAAUGGGUUAGCGGGUUCUCCUUCUCCGAGAGGAGCGGGAAAUCGCGUGAAAACCAUUCGUGAUAGGGAUUGGGGCUUGCAAUUGUUUCCCAUGAACGAGGAAUUCCCAGUAAGCGCAAGUCAUCAGCUUGCGUUGAUUAAGUCCCUGCCCUUUGUACACACCGCCCGUCGCUACUACCGAUUGAAUGAUUUAGUGAGGCCUUCGGACUGGCGGUCUUGGACUGGGCUCCGCUCGCUACUACUCCAGCAAUGGGGGGCGGCGGACUCGCCAUGACGAGCCGGAAAGAUGUCCAAACUUGAUCAUUUAGAGGAAGUAAAAGUCGUAACAAGGUUUCCGUAGGUGAACCUGCGGAAA